AACAAGGCGUACCUGCGGACCUGCGGAGGGAUCAUUAAAAUAAAUAUAGAAUUUCAUAUUCUUAAACCCUUACAGUGUACUUGUUCUUGUUGCUUCCGUGGGCAGUAGGCCUCGUGUCUGCGACCGCCUUCAUGGUGGACCCGCGGAAGGUACUCAUAAACUCGGUCUUUGUAUGGUAUCUGUCUGAGCUUGUUUAAUUCAUAAACGUUAUAACUUUUAGCAACGGAUCUCAGAUCGGAA
rnacentral:misc_RNA from 1 species